CCCAUGCGGAGUAGACCAACAGGGAUUGCCUCAGUAACGGCGAGUGAAGCGGCAACAGCUCAAAUUUGAAAUCUGGCCCUCGGGUCCGAGUUGUAAUUUGUAGAGGAUGCUUUUGGCGCGGUGCCUUCCGAGUUCCCUGGAACGGGACGCCUUAGAGGGUGAGAGCCCCGUACGGUUGGACACCAAGCCUCUGUAAAGCUCCUUCGACGAGUCGAGUAGUUUGGGAAUGCUGCUCUAAAUGGGAGGUAAAUUUCUUCUAAAGCUAAAUAUUGGCCAGAGACCGAUAGCGCACAAGUAGAGUGAUCGAAAGAUGAAAAGCACUUUGAAAAGAGGGUUAAAUAGCACGUGAAAUUGUUGAAAGGGAAGCGUUUGCGACCAGACCUUUUCCUGGCGGAUCAUCCGGUGUUCUCACCGGUGCACUUCGCCAGGUCGAGGCCAGCAUCGGUUUCCGCGGGGGGAUAAAAGCUCUGGGAACGUAGCUCCUCCGGGAGUGUUAUAGCCCUCUGCACAAUACCCCCGCGGGGACCGAGGACCGCGCUCUAAGCAAGGAUGCUGGCGUAAUGGUUGUCAACGACCCGUCUUGAAACACGGACCAAGGAGUCGAACAUUUGUGCGAGUGUUUGGGUGUCAAACCCUCACGCGUAAUGAAGGUGAACGUAGGUGAGAGCCCUUACGGGUGCAUCAUCGACCGAUCCUGAUGUCUUCGGAUGGAUUUGAGUAAGAGCAUAACUGUUCGGACCCGAAAGAUGGUGAACUAUGCGUGGAUAGGGUGAAGCCAGAGGAAACUCUGGUGGAGGCUCGCAGCGGUUCUGACGUGCAAAUCGAUCGUCAAAUCUGCGCAUGGGGGCGAAAGACUUAUCGAACCAUCUAGUAGCUGGUUACCGCCGAAGUUUCCCUCAGAUAGCAGUGUUGUUCUUCAGUUUUAUGAGGUAAAGCGAAUGAUUAGGGACUCGGGGGCGCUUUUUUGCCUUCAUCCAUUCUCAAACUUUAAAUAUG
rnacentral:rRNA from 1 species